rnacentral:rRNA from 1 species
GAUGAACGCUGGCGGCGUGCCUAAUACAUGCAAGUCGAGCGAACAGAUGAGGAGCUUGCUCCUCUGACGUUAGCGGCGGACGGGUGAGUAACACGUGGAUAACCUACCUAUAAGACUGGGAUAACUUCGGGAAACCGGAGCUAAUACCGGAUAAUAUAUUGAACCGCAUGGUUCAAUAGUGAAAGACGGUUUUGCUGUCACUUAUAGAUGGAUCCGCGCCGCAUUAGCUAGUUGGUAAGGUAACGGCUUACCAAGGCAACGAUGCGUAGCCGACCUGAGAGGGUGAUCGGCCACACUGGAACUGAGACACGGUCCAGACUCCUACGGGAGGCAGCAGUAGGGAAUCUUCCGCAAUGGGCGAAAGCCUGACGGAGCAACGCCGCGUGAGUGAUGAAGGUCUUCGGAUCGUAAAACCCUGUUAUUAGGGAAGAACAAAUGUGGAAGUAACUAUGCACGUCUUGACGGUACCUAAUCAGAAAGCAACGGCUAACUACGUG